rnacentral:rRNA from 1 species
UUUUAUGGAGAGUUUGAUCCUGGCUCAGGAUGAACGCUGGCGGCGUGCCUAAUACAUGCAAGUCGAGCGAACAGACGAGGAGCUUGCUCCUCUGACGUUAGCGGCGGACGGGUGAGUAACACGUGGAUAACCCACCUAUAAGACUGGGAUAACUUCGGGAAACCGGAGCUAAUACCGGAUAAUAUAUUGAACCGCAUGGUUCAAUAGUGAAAGACGGUUUUGCUGUCACUUAUAGAUGGAUCCGCGCCGCAUUAGCUAGUUGGUAAGGUAACGGCUUACCAAGGCAACGAUGCGUAGCCGACCUGAGAGGGUGAUCGGCCACACUGGAACUGAGACACGGUCCAGACUCCGUACGGGAGGCAG